rnacentral:lncRNA from 1 species
UUUUUACUUCUUCCCAAAAAAAACCUAAACUCUCUUCCUCUCAGCCCCUUUAGGAUCUGGCCUAGCUCCGGUCAAUGGCCGUCGUGCCGACCGUAGGCCACCGGCAACGGCGCCGCCGUGCGCGGUGGCCGUGGAGCUCAAAACUCCCUCCUCUGAACCCCUUUUCACGUAGAAGAAGAUUUAGGACCUAGAAAACCAUAAACUAAACCCCAAAACCCUUUAAAAUAGCAAAAAAAAGUUCUGACUUUUGGCUUCCUCCGUCGAAGCUUUGACCGGAUCUUUAGGGAUCCAUCAGCCUUCGGACCAGAGAAGCGUGUGCCGAGGGUAUCAACGCCGAAAAUAGGUAAAAACUUUUCCUUUUGUAUAUCUUUAUACCAUAGAUUCGAAAUAAAAAAGAAUAAAUAACUAAGAUAAAAAAAAUGAAACCUUUGAAAUAUUACUUUGAUUAAUCUCUGUAUUGGUAGAUCUUUUUUCCUUUUUUUGUUUUUUUGAAAAAAAGUCCCCCUUUUUUACAUUCCAUUCGGUCUUUUUAAAAGUCGAUUUACAAAUCCCUAUUAUAUUAUUGUUUUCGCUACUGUUCUUGCUGCCUUGCUCUGCUCUUUUCUUUUUCUUUUGUUUACAGGUGUCAGAGGAGUUGGUGGUGGCAUGUGGGCAUCGGUUGCGCAGUGGUAGGCAUGCUGGCCUAGGAGCGGCGGCUGAAAGUUGGGGGGCUAGGGUUUGUCGGCUGAAGAGUUUUAGGAUUAGUUGGGUUAGGGUUUAGUUUUGGGCUUGGGUAUAUUGGGCUGAUUUGGUUUGAUAUUGGGCUUGGAUUUGUAAAAUGAACUUUUAACAAUUAUUGUUUUGUUUGUGUUGUUGGGCCCCGGGCAAAUUUGGGCCCGUACAGCUGCCCCUCUUUGCUUAUUGUCAUGUAACGGGAAUAGAGCAAAGACUAAAAAAAGGCCAAAUUUGUCGAGACCUGCCGAGUCUUGACUUCUUUUGGCACUUCUCUUCUUCAAGUAUCAUCAAUAUGCUCCACUGCAACUUCAAGAUUUACAAUCUUUAGCCUACUCCACUACAACUUUAGUGAGCUAGGACUUGCUUAAAUCUGCUUCACUGCAACUUCAGGAAGCCAAGAUUUAUCAUCUUCGAUUUGCCCCACUGCAACUUCAGGGAGACAAAAUUCACAAUCUCCAGCCUACUCCACUACAAUAUUAUGGAGUUAGGAUGAUGGUUUAAAUCUGCUUCACUGCAACUUCAGAAAGCCAAGAUUCGUCGUCUUUGAUUUGCCCCCACUGCGACUUCAGGGAGACAAGAUCUGUAAAUUUCAGCCUACUCCAUUACAACCUUAGGGAGCUAAGAUUCAUCGUCUUCGAUAUGUUCCACUGUAACUUCAGAGAAACAAGAUCUGCAAAUUUCAGCCUACUCCACUACAACUUUAGGGAGCUAGGAUGAUAGCUUGAAUCUGCUCCACUGCAACUUUAGAGAGCCAAGAUUCACUGAAAUUUCAAGGAUAUCUGAUGUGGCUUUUAGCCGCUCCAACGCCAUUUCAAGGAAAAAAAAGAUCCACUGAAACUUUAAGGAGAUCUGUUGUGGCUUUUAGCCGCUCCAACGCCAUUUCAGGGAGAAAAGAUCCACUGAAACUUCGAGGAGAUCUGCUGUGGCUUUUAGUUGCUCUAACACCAUUUCAAGGAGAAAAGAUCUGCUGAAACUUCAAGGAGAUCUGUUGUGGCUUCUAGCCGCUCCAACGCCAUUUUAGGGAAAAAGAUCCACUGAAACUUCAAGGAGAUCUGCUGUGGCUUUUAGCCGCUCCAACGCCAUUUCAGGGAGAACAGAUCGACUGAAACUUCAAGGAGAUCUGUUGUGGCUUCUAGCCACUCCAACGCCAUUUUAGGGAAAAAAGAUCCACUGAAACUUCAAGGAGAUCUGCUGUGGCUUUUAGUCGCUCCAACGCCAUUUCAGGGAAAAAAGAUCGACUGAAACUUCAAGGAGACCUGCUGUGGCUUUUAGCCGCUCCAACGCCAUUUCAGGGAGAAGAGAGUUAUAAUUUCCAACCUGUUACCCUACUGCGUAGGGGUUUAAGGCUUGUGAAUUCACCGAUUCUAGGGACAUGACCUGUAGAAUCAGUUCCAUGUAUCUAUGCUUAUGUCAAAUAAUUAGGAUUGCUAUGAUCGAAAUGAAUAAAAUGUUCCUAACUAGAUGGGUUAUGAAUGAUAUAUGAAUGCAGAAAUGAAAAUGAUCUUCUUAAAAGGCUUAAGGUAACAUUGUUCGUUGUUCAUCAGAGCCUUAUCAUUGACGCAUUAUGUUGUCGUCUUGUUUAGCUGGUAUUCUUGAUAGAAAACCCAAAGAGACAUCCUCAAUCUGCUCAGUAAGCUUGCCCCACUUAAACUUUAUGGAGUUUUGCUUAUCCCACCCUCUGCAACUCAGGGUAUAGGAUUUGUCUCAUCUUCAAUUAAUUUGAUCUGUUACACCAUUCCCUGGGUGUAAUGACCCAUUGUAUAUGCUCGAUAUUUGCAUGAAUGCAGAGUGUCAUUUUUCUUUUCUCAAGAAUGAUCCACUUUUUACACUUAGGUUGACAUCGCUCGUCAUUUGUCGAUGUUGUAUCACUGACGAAAUAUCUUGUCUCUUCGUUCGACUGAUAUCUUUGACAGAGAAUUCGAAGAGAUAGUCGCAAUUUAGAAACAUCUUCAACCCUUAGGCUUGGUGAGUUCCAAUGGUGAGUUCCAAAUGAUGGUCCUGUUUCAGGUUCUUGUACUGUUUAGAAGCUUCUAGAAUAAUAUGCAGCACCCCUUUUGCGAAGGUAUUAUUAGUCCAUUCGUCGUUAUUUCAAUGCAAAAUGCUUGAAAAGAUUAAAAUAAUGGACAAGAAGGAAAUUGAUUAAGAGCGUAGCUUGAAAUAAAUUAAUCAAAGAUUGCAAAUGCAAUAAGAAGAAAAUUUUCUCAACAUGAAUAAGUUAAUCAAAGAUAGCAAUGCAAUAAGAAGGAAAUUUAUUGAUAAGUAUCUUGAAAAGAGUAAGACAAUCAAAGAUAACAAAUUCAAAAUGGGCAAGAUAGAAAUUGAGUGUCCUAGAUAUCGCAGCUUGAGCUUCUUUCUACCAAUUUCUUGAGGACCUUUCUAAGCUCAAUAUGUGUUUAGGGGAUCCGGAGUACUUUGUCGAUGCUCCGAGAUGUAGCAUACUUCUUCAUUGUUAAUUCAAGCGUAGCAAGACUAUUGCGUGCCUCACUUUGAUCUGAAUUUGAGCCGCCCUUUUCGAGUUUUCAACUCAAAUCUCCUUUGGUCUCAAGGCGCCCUUUGUGAGUUUUCACCUUGGCAUCUCCUUUUUUUUUUGAAAGUCUCAAAGUGUCUUUUACAGGUUUUCGCCUUGGCCACCCAUUUUCUAAGUGAAAUACUUCUUGACGAAAUCUGAAUUCAUCGAUUUGGGCAAGUCUUUGCCAUCCAUUUCGGUCAAUAUUAAUGCCCCUCUAAAAUAGGCUUUUUUUACUACGUAAGGUCCUUUGGCAUCCACUUUACUCUAAAGUCCUCUUGUAUAGGAAGGAUCUUCUUCAAUAUCAAGUUCUCCUAAUAGAAUUCUCUAGGAUGAACCUCUUCAUCGUAAGCUUACAUCGUUCAUUGGACCAUGACAGAUGGCUUUCAACCUCCUUUCUUCAAAUUUAACUAAUCGUAUCAGGAUUGGAUCCGUUUUCCCUUAUCCAAUUUCAAUUCAAACAAGACUCAGAGACAAAGAAUCUCUUUUUCAAAACCGUUUUUUAUCCCAUAGACUGAUGAAAUGUGCCGCCCAUGGCGAAGGUCCUAGCCACUUUUCGAUAAGCAUAGAAGGUAAAUGGUGACUUCUUAUGCCAAUCUUUACAAGUCUCGUUCAUCUUCCCCAUGAUCUUUAAUUUGUUUGUUGGGUUCCUCUCUUCUUCUUCUUCUUCUUCUUCUUCUUCUUCUUCUUCUUCUUCUUUUUACCUUUGCCUUUGCCUUUGCCUUUGCAAUAUAGCGCCUAAUCUUUGAACAGACUGAAAACUUUUGACAUUGUACAGUUGUGUUAGGCACGAAAUUUUUGACAUUCUUUUUUUGACACCCUUUUCUAGAAUUUGAUGACUUUCGUCUUAGUGACAUUGGCAUAUGAAACAACUUUCACCCUUUUUGUGGAAUAAUCGACGACCCUGAAGAUGAAUCUUUGACGGUUAGAAUUUUUCAAAAAGAUCGGCCCAUAAUAUCCAUGCCCCACAUAUAGAAAAUCUGUGAAGAAAUUGAGGAGGCAUAAAAGUCUUGUAUUUUGUUUGGCAUUCACAGCUUGACUGAUACAAUCCCCUUCCAUGUCGGAUCAACAGCCCCCGGAACUUAUGAUUAACCUGGCUAACGUAAAACCAUUAGCAUGUGUCCUUUUGAUACUGAUAUAGGCCCUUUUAGCAUCCAUAGGCCUUAGUAGCCCAGGCAUAUCUUGAUACGAUCAUGUGAGAACAUCUUCGACUUCUUGGAAUGACUCAAUGAUGUCUUGUUUUGUCUUUGUGGUGAUGCUGACUCUAAUGUUUUCCUCUUUCUCUUGUCUUAGGCUUGCUGACCACUGACUUUUUGUAAAGUAGGAUCCCCUUUUUUAAUCUUAUUCUACCGUCCUUAACAAAUCAAGAGAUAGGCUACGUCUCCGUCAUCUUCAAGGUUCUGAGAUCCCUCUAGACACAUACCUUACUCAGAAAGAGACUUGGAGUCGGUGACAGCGUCGCUCCCAUCAUUGAUAUCUGAAAACUUGUUAUAAGUACGAAGGCAGAUUCCAAAGAAUAAAUGAUUCUAAGGAUGAUUAUUUGUAUGGUAUGAUCAUGAAUGAAAGAAUCUAAGAAUAAUCGUUUGUACAGUAUGAGAAUAAAAGAAUAAAAGAAUGGUAAUAACAAUUUCAUUGAAAUAAGGAUUUUGGAUAUAAGCCUAUUUCACAAAAGGAUUCUUGUUGCUUCUAGGCUUAAAACAACAAGUGUGUUUUGAACAUUAUUCUAGAUUAGUUCUAAAAAUACAAGAAUCUUUCACGGUCCCAUCGUUUAAAACACCCUAAGUACGAAAGGGUAGAAGCUUGGAAAAGUCUACUCCUGUGCUCCCUUUUCUGAUACGUCAUUAAUGUUCGGAUUCCCCGAUACCAAGUCCAGCAUUAGAGUCCUAAGCUCGAUGCACCCUUAGAUCUCAUGCCCCUAUUCAGCAUGGAACUCAUAAUGUCCCCCUCUUUAACAGAAAGGUUGGAUAACAGAUUUUCUACUCCAGAGGGAUCAUCGAACUUCACGAUACCCAAUUUGAUAAACCUUUCGAUUAGCUUUUUUAAAGCAGUACAGUUCUCGAUGGAAUGUCCCGUGAUUUCUGAAUGGUAUUCACACUGGCCGUUUGCAUCGUACCAUUUAGGGUAUGGAGGCUGUAUUGGUUCUAUGUAAAAAGGGGAUACAACAUGUGCAUCGAAUAGAAUGCGGUACAACUCCCUGCACGUGAUUGGGAUGGGCAUGAAUUGGGUUUUUUCUGAGUUUGGUCUGUGAUUAGGUUCUUGCCUUAGUGAGGCCCGAUGGCUGGUAGUUACCGUCUUUGGCUGGCUUACUAUAAUCGACUCUGAACGACCCAUGUCAUAUCUACUCAUACUAUUUGCUUUCCUUUCCUUCCUCUUCGGGGCCUUUAAAGUCCACUCUCUCCUUUCCUUUAUUUUUGCUAGAACGAUCGGUUUGGCUUGAUCAUCUUCUGGACUAGAACCUGAACCCAUCGAGAAGCUCAAUAGUGCCGAUGUAUCCGUCUGAGAUUGGUGUCCAGUAAUAAUGGGUAUCCUUUGCAUGUCUGGUUGGGUCAGGACACUUGUUGGUUUAAAACUUGGGGAAUAGACAAUCUCUUCAUUAUCAUCCUCACUAUUGACUACUGGGCCACUCCUUUUUUCAAAUUCUCUGGCCAGUAACUGGGUUAACUGGCCCAUCAUGUUUCUUUGGAGUUCUAGGAUUUGUUCUCGUAUAUCUUGUUGAAUUCUGAUCAAUUGCUCUUGCAUCUGUAUUUGCCUUUGCUCUAUUCUCUCCAACCUUUGGUCCAUAUCUUUUGUCGGUUCUAUAAUUUUACGUAAUUAGGGCCCUUUAGUGAAAGUUUAAUGCAAAUGAUGCAAUGCAAUGCAAAUGCAUGGCAUGAAUGCAAUGGAAAGAAAGAUGUUGAUUAAAUUCCCUUAGAACAACUUUUCUAGAUAACAAAUUCUUUUACAUAAAAUGGAUUAUGUAUACGGCCUUGCUUUCAUAUUCUGGGUGAAGACACUGAUCCCAUUUCCUCGUGAAAGUCUGAUCUAGCAAGCUUUUGAUAAAUGCCUCUACUGGCUCCUUUUGUUUGAUUCAAGCCACCAUUUACUAUCCUUGCAAUGUUGAUUAGCUCCUUUAGGAAAGUCGGGACGCGACGGCCUUUGAAUAAUCUUUGUCAGCUUGAACCCUUAGGUAAAGUCUUGUUUUCUUCUACGAACUGUUAGCCUUCUUCUAUCGUGUUCACUUGGACCCCACUCGGACAACCGUAUUGUAAUUCACUUUAUUAAGAAAUUCGUUUUCUUAUGACAAACUGUUCUAUUUGGAAAUCGAAUAUUAAUCAACAUCUCCUUUCUAUGCUGAUGUAAUGCAAUGCAGUCAUAAAUAAACAAACACAAAACAUGUUAGUACAGAAAUAAGUAACAAAUAAAGUACCUAUUCGGGUAAUCACUAGGGGUUCAGAGUGGCUCUACCUAGGGUAAGCUCUUAGGUCUCUAUAUGUGGCUCGGUUCUAGAGUAAAGGUACCUGAACCAGUAGAUUCCUCGAUCCUCAACCAUUAUAGGCUCAUAUGGAUCGAGUUCGGUUCAGGGGGAUACAUUUCCUUAUGACCAUGCGGAGAUGAAAAUCUCACGAAAUCAUAAGUACGGAUGUACCCCGGAAGCAAUCGACUAGCCCAUGCGGAGGUGAAAACCUCACGAAAGCAUAGUUUCUUACUCCCACUUAGAAGGUGUGACCACAACGGUCAUGCAAUGCCAUGUACGAGGAUAUAUGUAUAAGGAAAACUUAAAGUAAUAAGGAAAACGAGAAAAAAUAAUGGAAACCGUAAGAAAAACGGAUGAAAUGCAAUGAAGGGAUUGUAAAUUUAGAACGAGAAAUAAAUUUUCAAUUUUUGACAAAGGACAAAAAUUAAUCAAUUUAUGGCUCGACUCUCGAACUCCCCAGUGGAGUCGCCAAGCUGUCGAAACCUUUUUUUUGUUGAAAACGAGGAUCGACUUUUUGAAAAGCAAAAAAUGAAGUCGCCACCGACCUUUUUUGAGGUGUAAUCGGAUCACCUUGAAGUAAAUCAUUUUAAUAAAAUAAUAAUUUUAGGUCUACGAAAAUUGAGAGAAAGGGUUCGGGAGUCAGUUAUGAACGAGGAAGGGUUAGCACCCCCGUAACGCCCAAAAUUGGUACCAAACCGAUUAAAUAUCUGUCCUUGUGUCUAAGAUUUAAAAUGCUUUUGAAAUGUGGUUCUUUUUUAUUACAUUUGAGUGACCCGAGUUGGUAUUCAAGAUCUUCUCAUUUCAGAGGAAUAUAGUAUCACAUCUAACACGGUAGGACACGAUCCUUUAUACGCUCGAAAACAUAACAGAUUUCGACUUCCAAAAGUUUAUAAUUCGUAAAUUACAAAAGGAUGCUCAACUAUUUAGUCUAACGAAAAAUCGAAACCCAGCACAGUAGGGCACGACUCCUCGAAUUUCCAAAUAUUCGAGCAUUGCUUUGUUUUAGAAAAUGCGAGUGAAACUGAAAAGGGAUAUUCGAUUAUUUGGGACAAAUAGGAUAUCGCAACCCAACACGAUAGGGUACUAUUCCCGAAUUGCUAAACAUCAAAUAUUUCCUUUGUUUUAAAAAGUUUUUAGAAAACAUGAAUGAAAUUCUAAAGAAGUAUUCGAUUAUUUAGAGCAAACGAGAAAUUGCAACGCAGCACGGUAGGGCACGAUUCCUCGAAUUGCUAAAAAUCGAACAUCACCUUCGUUUUAAGAAAUUGUGAAACUAGCUUAAAACAUAUUAAUUUGAUUUGAAAUAAAACGAGAGUAACCGCCAAAUUUGGACUUUAUAAAACCGAAAAGUUAAAAAAUGUAAAGCAACGUUUGCAAACGAAAACUGAAGUUAUAGACAUGGGGUAAGAUGCACAAAUAAAACACUACGCUUGAUGAAUAAAAAAUGGUAUAAACUUAGGGAACCAAUUGACAAAACCAACAAUAAAAUAUAACUAAUCCGCGAACAAUAUGACCAAAUUUAUAAGCAUGAAUGAACAACAAAUGAUUCAAUAAUACAUAGAAACGUGUAAACAUGAUGUAGCAAAUAUAUACGAAAUAACAUGAAGGUAAUUAAUACAUGAGACACCAAUCAAUAUAAAACCAAUAUGAUACGAAAAUAAUUGUUAAAAAUGGUGGAUUGAUGAGCAAACAACACAUACUAAAAUUUUAAAAAGAAAAAAGAAAAAAAAUUUUAAUAAGAAUAUAUAUAUUUUUUCAAAUAGAUGUGGCAAAAAAGAAGACAUUUGAAUCAAAUAAUAUGCAAAAUGUUUUAACAAAAUUCAUUCAUUUAAAGUUGACACUAUAUACAAUAAAGGAAAAUUUAAAUAAUACACAAAAUUUGAAGGAAUAGUAAAUAUGCAUAGUAAAACAUAAUAUUGGGAAAUAGAUUAUAUACCUAAUAGGUUCAAGGAAACAUAUAUAUGUAUACAAAUAAUUUAAAAGCAACUACCUUAAGAGAAGUAACAUGGAAUUAAAUAUGUAUAUAAGAUCAAGCUAAUUUUACUAUGAAUCAUAUAUAUACGAAUAUAUAAAAAAACAUUUGGAUGGUGUAUUACACAGAAUAUUAAAAUAACACAAGUAAUGAUUUUAUAACAUCAAAGUAAAGUCAUUAAAAAUAACUCCAUACAUAACAAAGGGAGUGAAUCCGGAAAUAAUGAAUAGAAAGCUCAAUUAAACUAAUAUAUGUGCAAGUAUAUAUUAAAAAUAUUUAAAUCAUAAAACGUUAAGAUAAUGUAAUAUAAAAAGCUUCAAAAUCAUGAUUAUAUAAAGUAAAGGUACCAAAAUAUAUAUGAAUAAUAAUGAUAAUAGGUUUAAAAAUAAAACAUAAAAAUAUAUACGAUUAAAUAUAUUUUUCUUUAAUAUACAAAAAAGUGAUAAAUACGAAUAGGCUAUAAUAAAAUGAUGGAUAAUAAGGUAAUAAUAAUAAUAGGAAUAUAAAUAAAACAAAACAUAGUAAAUAAAUAUAUGCAAGGAUUAAAAAUAGAUAAAAUGACAAUAUGUGAAUGAGAAAGUAAAUGCUUAAAUGAAUAAAAUAAAAGAAUAAUGAAUAACUAAGCAAAUAAGUAAUUAAGAAGACAAAUACAUGAAAUAAAGGGCUUGACUGAAAACUUGAAGGAAUUUAAAGAACAAAAAAUGGAAUAUAAUGAAAUAGGGGACCAAACUGUAACACACGAGUGAAACAGAGGGUUCGAAAGGGCAAAUAUCCCUACGCUCUUAAACGCCACGUUUUAUGCAGGACUAAAAAGAGAUACAAGUAGAGUUCUGAGCCAAAAUUAAAAGAAGAAGAAGGAAUAAAAGGACCCAAUCGAAACAGAUCGAAGAAGUGGAAGGACCGAUUUUACAAAUAACCCAUAAGGCGUGAAAACACGCGAGUUAUGGCCUCCAUCGGGUCGAAUCUCUACGGGUUAAGGUGAAACGGCGCCGUUUUGGCACUCGAAAUCCAUGCCCAAAACGAUGCCGUAUGGGAUCAUUAUAUAAACCAAAUUUUUGUUAAAAAUUUUAUUUUUACUUCUUCCCAAAAAAAACCUAAACUCUCUUCCUCUCAGCCCCUUUAGGAUCUGGCCUAGCUCCGGUCAAUGGCCGUCGUGCCGACCGUAGGCCACCGGCAACGGCGCCGCCGUGCGCGGUGGCCGUGGAGCUCAAAACUCCCUCCUCUGAACCCCUUUUCACGUAGAAGAAGAUUUAGGACCUAGAAAACCAUAAACUAAACCCCAAAACCCUUUAAAAUAGCAAAAAAAAGUUCUGACUUUUGGCUUCCUCCGUCGAAGCUUUGACCGGAUCUUUAGGGAUCCAUCAGCCUUCGGACCAGAGAAGCGUGUGCCGAGGGUAUCAACGCCGAAAAUAGGUAAAAACUUUUCCUUUUGUAUAUCUUUAUACCAUAGAUUCGAAAUAAAAAAGAAUAAAUAACUAAGAUAAAAAAAAUGAAACCUUUGAAAUAUUACUUUGAUUAAUCUCUGUAUUGGUAGAUCUUUUUUCCUUUUUUUGUUUUUUUGAAAAAAAGUCCCCCUUUUUUACAUUCCAUUCGGUCUUUUUAAAAGUCGAUUUACAAAUCCCUAUUAUAUUAUUGUUUUCGCUACUGUUCUUGCUGCCUUGCUCUGCUCUUUUCUUUUUCUUUUGUUUACAGGUGUCAGAGGAGUUGGUGGUGGCAUGUGGGCAUCGGUUGCGCAGUGGUAGGCAUGCUGGCCUAGGAGCGGCGGCUGAAAGUUGGGGGGCUAGGGUUUGUCGGCUGAAGAGUUUUAGGAUUAGUUGGGUUAGGGUUUAGUUUUGGGCUUGGGUAUAUUGGGCUGAUUUGGUUUGAUAUUGGGCUUGGAUUUGUAAAAUGAACUUUUAACAAUUAUUGUUUUGUUUGUGUUGUUGGGCCCCGGGCAAAUUUGGGCCCGUACAGCUGCCCCUCUUUGCUUAUUGUCAUGUAACGGGAAUAGAGCAAAGACUAAAAAAAGGCCAAAUUUGUCGAGACCUGCCGAGUCUUGACUUCUUUUGGCACUUCUCUUCUUCAAGUAUCAUCAAUAUGCUCCACUGCAACUUCAAGAUUUACAAUCUUUAGCCUACUCCACUACAACUUUAGUGAGCUAGGACUUGCUUAAAUCUGCUUCACUGCAACUUCAGGAAGCCAAGAUUUAUCAUCUUCGAUUUGCCCCACUGCAACUUCAGGGAGACAAAAUUCACAAUCUCCAGCCUACUCCACUACAAUAUUAUGGAGUUAGGAUGAUGGUUUAAAUCUGCUUCACUGCAACUUCAGAAAGCCAAGAUUCGUCGUCUUUGAUUUGCCCCCACUGCGACUUCAGGGAGACAAGAUCUGUAAAUUUCAGCCUACUCCAUUACAACCUUAGGGAGCUAAGAUUCAUCGUCUUCGAUAUGUUCCACUGUAACUUCAGAGAAACAAGAUCUGCAAAUUUCAGCCUACUCCACUACAACUUUAGGGAGCUAGGAUGAUAGCUUGAAUCUGCUCCACUGCAACUUUAGAGAGCCAAGAUUCACUGAAAUUUCAAGGAUAUCUGAUGUGGCUUUUAGCCGCUCCAACGCCAUUUCAAGGAAAAAAAAGAUCCACUGAAACUUUAAGGAGAUCUGUUGUGGCUUUUAGCCGCUCCAACGCCAUUUCAGGGAGAAAAGAUCCACUGAAACUUCGAGGAGAUCUGCUGUGGCUUUUAGUUGCUCUAACACCAUUUCAAGGAGAAAAGAUCUGCUGAAACUUCAAGGAGAUCUGUUGUGGCUUCUAGCCGCUCCAACGCCAUUUUAGGGAAAAAGAUCCACUGAAACUUCAAGGAGAUCUGCUGUGGCUUUUAGCCGCUCCAACGCCAUUUCAGGGAGAACAGAUCGACUGAAACUUCAAGGAGAUCUGUUGUGGCUUCUAGCCACUCCAACGCCAUUUUAGGGAAAAAAGAUCCACUGAAACUUCAAGGAGAUCUGCUGUGGCUUUUAGUCGCUCCAACGCCAUUUCAGGGAAAAAAGAUCGACUGAAACUUCAAGGAGACCUGCUGUGGCUUUUAGCCGCUCCAACGCCAUUUCAGGGAGAAGAGAGUUAUAAUUUCCAACCUGUUACCCUACUGCGUAGGGGUUUAAGGCUUGUGAAUUCACCGAUUCUAGGGACAUGACCUGCAGAAUCAGUUCCAUGUAUCUAUGCUUAUGUCAAAUAAUUAGGAUUGCUAUGAUCGAAAUUAAUCAAAUGUUCCUAACUAGAUGGGUUAUGAAUGAUAUAUGAAUGCAGAAAUGAAAAUGAUCUUCUUAAAAGGCUUAAGGUAACAUUGUUCGUUGUUCAUCAGAGCCUUAUCAUUGACGCAUUAUGUUGUCGUCUUGUUUAGCUGGUAUUCUUGAUAGAAAACCCAAAGAGACAUCCUCAAUCUGCUCAGUAAGCUUGCCCCACUUAAACUUUAUGGAGUUUUGCUUAUCCCACCCUCUGCAACUCAGGGUAUAGGAUUUGUCUCAUCUUCAAUUAAUUUGAUCUGUUACACCAUUCCCUGGGUGUAAUGACCCAUUGUAUAUGCUCGAUAUUUGCAUGAAUGCAGAGUGUCAUUUUUCUUUUCUCAAGAAUGAUCCACUUUUUACACUUAGGUUGACAUCGCUCGUCAUUUGUCGAUGUUGUAUCACUGACGAAAUAUCUUGUCUCUUCGUUCGACUGAUAUCUUUGACAGAGAAUUCGAAGAGAUAGUCGCAAUUUAGAAACAUCUUCAACCCUUAGGCUUGGUGAGUUCCAAUGGUGAGUUCCAAAUGAUGGUCCUGUUUCAGGUUCUUGUACUGUUUAGAAGCUUCUAGAAUAAUAUGCAGCACCCCUUUUGCGAAGGUAUUAUUAGUCCAUUCGUCGUUAUUUCAAUGCAAAAUGCUUGAAAAGAUUAAAAUAAUGGACAAGAAGGAAAUUGAUUAAGAGCGUAGCUUGAAAUAAAUUAAUCAAAGAUUGCAAAUGCAAUAAGAAGAAAAUUUUCUCAACAUGAAUAAGUUAAUCAAAGAUAGCAAUGCAAUAAGAAGGAAAUUUAUUGAUAAGUAUCUUUAUACCAUAGAUUCGAAAUAAAAAAAGAAUAAAUAACUAAGAUAAAAAAAAUGAAACCUUUGAAAUAUUUCUUUGAUUAAUCUCUGUAUUGGUAGAUCUUUUUUCCUUUUUUUGUUUUUUUGAAAAAAAGUCCCCCUUUUUUACAUUCCAUUCGGUCUUUUUAAAAGCCGAUUUACAAAUCCCUAUUAUAUUAUUGUUUUCGCUACAGUUCUUGCUGCCUUGCCUUGCUCUGCUCUGUUCUUUUUCUUUUGUUUACAGGUGUCAGAGGAGUUGGUGGUGGCAUGUGGGCAUCGGUUGCGCAGUGGUAGGCAUGCUGGCCUAGGAGCGGCGGCUGAAAGUUGGGGGGCUAGGGUUUGUCGGCUGAAGAGUUUUAGGAUUAGUUGGGUUAGGGUUUAGUUUUGGGCUUGGGUAUAUUGGGCUGAUUUGGUUUGAUAUUGGGUUUGGAUUUGUAAAAUGAACUUUUAACAAUAUUGUUUUGUUUGUGUUGUUGGGCCCCGGGCAAAUUUGGGCCCGCACAAUUAUGUUAAAAAAAAUUAUUAGUAUAUAUUUAUAAGUCCUCCAUAUUUUUUUAUUUAAUUUAAUUAUGUUUAAUUAUGUUAUUUUUUAAUUUAUAAUAGUUACAUAGUCUCAGGCACCUAUAGAUCAUCAAUUUUUUUUUUUCAAAAUGUGUAAUUAAUGAAAUGAUAAGUAUAAAAAUGGCAUGCAUGAAUCUCCAAAAUUUUCAUAUCUCAUGUAAUUUGCUAUAAAGGCGAUGUGGUAUCAU